UUUUUAAUAAUAACACAUGUACUAACAUUGGAAUAAUACAGAGAAAGAUUAGCAUGGCCCCUCUACAAGGCAUGUGCAUGUGUGAAACUGUCUUCAUAGAU
rnacentral:snRNA from 1 species